rnacentral:rRNA from 1 species
UACGUAGGGUGCGAGCGUUAAUCGGAAUUACUGGGCGUAAAGCGUGCGCAGGCGGUGAUGUAAGACAGUUGUGAAAUCCCCGGGCUCAACCUGGGAACUGCAUCUGUGACUGCAUCGCUGGAGUGCGGCAGAGGGGGAUGGAAUUCCGCGUGUAGCAGUGAAAUGUGUAGAGAUCGGGAGGAACACCGGUGGCGAAGGCGGGCCUCUGGGCAAUUCCUGACGCUGAGGCGCGAAAGCGUGGGGAGCAAACGGG